UACGAGAGGGGGCAAGCGUUAUUCGGAAUUAUUGGGCGUAAAGGGCGCGUAGGCGGCUAUUCAAGUGACGGGUGAAAUCCCUCGGCUUAACCGAGGAACUGCCUGUCAGACUGGAAGGCUUGAGACCGGGAGAGGUGAGUGGAAUUCCCAGUGUAGCGGUGAAAUGCGUAGAUAUUGGGAGGAACACCAGUGGCGAAGGCGGCUCACUGGACCGGUACUGACGCUGAGGCGCGAAAGCGUGGGGAGCAAACAGG
rnacentral:rRNA from 1 species